CGSACAGAGMCCCGUGAAUCCUGGCUGAUGAAUUCAGAAUCGAUCGGAACGACGUUUAGAACGUGUUCGGUCGGUUUGAUUUUUUAUCUGCCGCUAAUUUGAACGGACGUCGCGACCCGUUGAGUGUUGCGCUUGUUUCAAGAAACGAAGUGAUAGUUCUUGAAUGGUCGGCCAUCGUUAGAUCGGUCGGUUUUUCCGGAGCCUUUGUUUUUAUUCUGACGAACUGGCUCGACGGUAAAAUUAACGGUAACCGAAAAAUUGUGAAAUUUAUUUCGGAACCGGUCUGCGACGAUUCUUCGGGCCUCUUUCCGACCCGUCUUGAAACACGGACCAAGGAGUCUAACGUGUGCGCGAGUCACGGGGUUUCGCCGACCGAUUUUUCAUUUUCCGAUGAAAGAUAAGCGUCGGCGUUAUGUAAACGAAACCCGAUUGAAGGCGUAAUGAAAGUGAAAUGUUUUUAACGCGUUGUUUGUUUACACAUUAUUAUUUUGGUAAUGUGUUGCGCGCGCGUUUUUAACAAUCGGGAAGAUGACGUCUCGAGUACACCUUUUCGGUCGUAUUUAUUUAUGUAUCGAGACCGAGCGUCCGCAUUCCUGGGGCGUCUUGCGAGCUCGAUGUCAUGUCGGUUUAUUUUGUACACGGUCGUCGUUUCGGCGGCGAUCGCGAUACUCGAUACAAUUGUAGGCGUCGAUCUGAGGCGCACUCUUAGCGUACACGUUGGUACCCGAAAGAUGGUGAACUAUGCCUGGCUAGGAUGAAGUCAGGGGAAACCCUGAUGGAGGUCCGCAGGGAUUCUGACGUGCAAAUCGAUCCUCA
rnacentral:rRNA from 1 species